UUUGAACUGUGGUGUUGGAGAAGGCUCUUGAGAAUCUCUUGGACUGCAAGGAGAUCCAACCAGUCCAUUCUAAAGGAGAUCAGUCCUUCAUGUUCAUUGGAAGGACUGAUGCUAAAGCUGAAACUCCAAUACUUUGGCCACCUCAUGUGAAGAGUUAACUCACUGGAAAAGACCCUGAUGCUGAGAGGGAUUGGGGGCAGGAGAAGGGGACGACAGAAGAUGAGAUGGCUGGAUGGCACCACCGACUCGAUGGACAUGAGUUUGAGUAAACUCUCGGAGUUGGUGAUGGACAGGGAGGCCUGGCGUGCUGCAAUUCAUGGGGUGGCAGAGUCAGACACGACUGAGCAACUGAACUGAACUGAACUGAAUGCAUGCUCAUUUUAAAAGGACUAAGUUGGAGUGCUACCCUGGUGGCUCAUUGGUAAAGAAUCUGCCUGGCAGUGCAGGAGACAUGGGUUCAAUCCCUCAUCUGGAAGAUCGCACAUGCUGAGGAGCAACUAAGCCGCUGUGCCACAACUGUUGAGCCUGUGCUCCAGAGCCAAGAGCCACAGCUACUGAAACCUGCAUGCCCUAGAGCCCAUGCUCUGCAACAAGAGAAGCCACCACAAUGAGAAGCCUGCACACCACAACUAGAGAGUAGCCCCUGCUUGCCACAACUGGAGAGAAGCCCAUGCAGAAAUGAAGACUCAGCACAACCAAAAAUAAAUAACUCUCCUGAAGCCUGACGCGGGGCCACAAUGUCAAGCAGCUUUAAUCACAGCAAAGAAUCAUUCAACUGAUCAUUCCCACGGAAGCUGAUCUUAUGCCUUAAACCAGCUAGAGACCUGACAUUAAGGAUUUUAUAUGGGAAGUAUAAAAAGUAAUGAGGCAACCAAACUCCUUCUACUUAUGGACCUACUUAAUCAUCUGAUAGAAGUCAAAUAAAACAUGGCCUGAGAGCAAAGACAGCUACAAAGAUCAGGAAUCUUCUCUACAAAUACCACAUAGAUAUGUAUACAUACAUGCAUACAUAUGUUGCUCAGUCACCCAGUCGUGUCCAACUCUUUGCAACCCCAUGGACUGCAGCCUCCCUGUCCCUGACCAUCUGCUGGAGUUUGCCCAAGUUCAUGCCUGUUACAUUGGUGAUACCAUCCAGCCACCUCAUCCUCUGAUGCCCUUUUUUCCUUCUGCCCUCAGUCUUCUCCAGCUUUCCCAAG
ensembl:lncRNA